rnacentral:rRNA from 1 species
GACGAACGCUGGCGGCGUGCUUAACACAUGCAAGUCGAACGGAAAGGCCCUGCUUUUGUGGGGUGCUCGAGUGGCGAACGGGUGAGUAACACGUGAGUAACCUGCCCUUGACUUUGGGAUAACUUCAGGAAACUGGGGCUAAUACCGGAUAGGAGCUCCUGCUGCAUGGUGGGGGUUGGAAAGUUUCGGCGGUUGGGGAUGGACUCGCGGCUUAUCAGCUUGUUGGUGGGGUAGUGGCUUACCAAGGGUUUGACGGGUAGCCGGCCUGAGAGGGUGACCGGCCACAUUGGGCCUGCGAUACGGCGCAGACUGCUACGGGAGGCAGCAGUGGGGAGUAUGGCACAACGGGCGGGAGCGUGAUGCAGCAACGCCGCGUGCGGGAUGACGGCCUUCGGGUUGUAAACCGCUUUCGCCUGUGACGAAGCGUGAGUGACGGUAAUGGGUAAAGAAGCACCGGCUAACUACGUG